rnacentral:rRNA from 1 species
UACAGAGGGUGCAAGCGUUAUUCGGAUUCACUGGGCGUAAAGGGUGCGCAGGCGGCCGGGUGUGUCGGGUGUGAAAGCUCGAGGCUCAACCUCGAAACUGCGCCCGAGACUAUUCGGCUAGAGUACUGGAGAGGGAAGCGGAAUUCACGGUGUAGCAGUGAAAUGCGUAGAUAUCGUGAGGAACACCAAUGGCGAAGGCAGCUUCCUGGACAGUUACUGACGCUCAGGCACGAAAGCGAGGGGAGCAAAAGGG